rnacentral:lncRNA from 10 species
AAGAUGAAGCUGAAAAUUUACAAUUUCAAGAUAUUCUUAGAAGAUAUCUGGUCUACUUUUUUGAGCUGUUAACAUUUUUCUGAGAGUUAACUUUUCUUGGGAAGAAAUGAAGUGGAAAUAUGGUUGCUGCCUAAGAAGUAAUAAUAGGAGAUACAGGAAGCAGUUUGAAAUGGAAUAGAAACAACUUGUGAUAGAGGACAGAAGCCAUAUCAGAAGUCACGGAAUUAAUUAUGUGAGUCUGGGAUCAGUGAGAGAUGAAAAUUGAGAAGAAAGAAAACUGUAAGACUCUGUGACUUGAAAAAUCCAGGAGAGACAGGUCUUUGCAAGGAAGAAAAAAAAAGGAAGAUAUGUUUUUGAUUUAUAAAUUCAUUGAGUUUAUUUUUCUUUUCUUUUUUCUCUACCCCAGCCAUUUCCUUCUCCUGUCCCUCUUCCCUUCCACUUCAUCCUCCUCCUCUUUCUUCCUCUCUCUUAUUUUUUUAUUUAUGGGAAAAUAUAGUGUAGUAAUUGAUAGCAUAGCCACUAGUGUCAGCCCGCCUGGUGUUGGAUCUUACAUUUUCUGUGUCUGCCUGUGUAAAUUUUUGCGUCAAUAUAAUUACUAUUUUUAAACCUAUAAAUCAGGAUAGUAAUAGUAUUUGCUUCAGAAAGGACCCAAGAUUACAUGUUCACUGAGUUUAAAAGAGCUCUGUCUGCCAGUAUGUGCACAGCAUGCAUUACAUUUUAUUAAUAUUAAAGCAAUUAACAUUAGAUUUAUUUUGUUUUUGUUUUUAUAACUUGGAUUUCCUCUCCCAUUUCAGAAAGGUCCAAGACUGAUUAUUUAAUGAUUUUUGUACACAAUAAAAAUACACAAGAAUAUUUUGAUAUCAAGGUUACUUAACAUAAAUGAUAUAAAAAUAAGAUAAAUAUAAUAGUAUGUGAACAUAAAACCAGCCUUGACCACUGAGAAUACUAGCUAACAAAUAUUCUAUUAUUAUUUUUAUUAUAUUUUAUUAUGACAAAACAAAUUCCUAUUGAAUAUAUAAAUAUAAAAAGUUAAACAUAAAAGAGCUAGAAAAUAUAGAAAGAGAAAUAUCUUUUAGGACAUAUAGUGAGAACACACACACAUAUAUUAUAUCUCAGAAUUUGAAAUAUUACUUAAAAACAACUGGUAAAACAAUGUUUCUGUUUUACCAUUGCCUUUAGGCAACUGAAUUGCUACAUUGUAUUUUCUCUUAAACCCAAGAAAAUUCCCUGUGUUAGAACAACUUGAAUGAAAAGAAGAAUAAACAGGUGUCCAACAAUAACAUUUCCAAGAUAGGAAGAAAGCGAGGGUUCAAAACGGAGGUAAGUAAAUGAAAUGUUGGUAUACUUUAUGCUCAGGAUAACAACUUGUUGGGUUUAUUCUAUUUUUUGCAUUUGCUUCUUAUUUAUCAUUUUAAUUUACAAAACUCUUGUGGUACCAAGUCUGCUUUCCAAGGCAUACACACACUGGUGAAAUGGAAUGACCGGUUUAUGUAACUUCCUUUCCAUUCUAUGAUGUAAGUACCACACAAAUGUUUUCCCAGGGUGUUGAAAAAGUGUAAGUAAUUUUCUGAAGAUUUGCACUUUGCUUCAUCAUAGGUAGUGAAAAAUACAAAACCUAUUUGCAGAAGGAUUGAGAAUAUCUUAGCUUUUUGGAUAUUUUCUCUUCUGAGACUUGUUUUAAAUUCAGGUCAGAAAAGCUAGUGUAAUAUUGGAAUUGAAAAGAGCAACAGUGUUUUGACAUUGUAUAUCUUGGCAUAAACCUUGCAUCAUUCGCAGUAUGAGAUGUCAUGAAACUCAACUCAGCAUAACAUAAAAUCAAAUGGGUUAAAGGAGUUCAAAUAGCAAACAUCCAGGUGUCUUCGCUGUCCAGCAUCUAGUAAUAGGAGGACAUUGAGACAGAAUAAUAUCAUACCAUUUAUUAUUCAGCAUUUAUUGUGUACCCGCUAUGUGCCAAGGGCUGUGUCAAGGACAUGAAAAUUAAUAAAAAAAAAACUCUUACUCUUGAAAAGGGAAUCAUCUGACAACUAGCAUUUAUUGAAAACUCAAGCAUUGAACUCUGCAUUUUGCAUGUAUCUCUGUUUAAUCUUUACAUUAACUUCGUGAAUAUAAUAUUAUUAUUUUAAAGAUGUGGAAAGAAGAUGCAAAAAUGUUGAUUAAAUUAUCUAAGGUAUUUAACCUGCCAUUGGCUGAUACAUAUUUCAAACAAGCCUGCCUUAACCACAAAAUGUUUAUGCUUUUAGUUAUAUAUAAUGUGUCUCACCAAUCACUGAAGGGGACAAGUCAUCCAUGUAAGAAAUUAACUCAACCCAGGGGAGAGGACAUAUUCCUGUAAUCUCAGCUACUCAGGAACCUGAAGCAGGAGGAUAAUUUCAGGGAAGGAAUUGAGACCAGCAUGGGCAACAUAGCAAGAUGUAAAAAAACAAAACAAAACACAAUUUUUUAAUGUUAACUAGGUGUGGUGGCAUGUUCCUGUAGUCCCAGCUACUCAGGAGCAUGAGGCAGGAAGCUUGCUUGAGCCCCAAAGUUCAAGGGUGCAGUGAGCUAUGGUUGCACUUCUGCAUUCCAGCCUAGGUGACAGAGAAAGAUCCCCUCUCAAAAAACUUAAUUUAUUGUCAAAUAUACUUUUGCAUAACUGUGUGCAAAUUAUGUAGCUGUAAAAAUAAGGCUAUGAUGUAAUUAUGCCCUGAAACUGUUUGUUUGUUGCUGUUUUUGGUUUUGUUUUAUUUUUGCUUGGUAUUGGUGAUGUAUGGAGUAAUGUGUUCACUGGUCUUUGAGGUAUAAUCAUACCUUUGCCAGAUGGAGAACAGUUGAGCAGUAUAUUCCAGGAAUAGGGAAUAUUAUGUCUAAAACAUUACAUAGUCAAGGAAUUACAGCAAAGUUUUGUUUAUAAAGAGGAGAGGAAAAAAAAAGAAUGAUACAAGGAAUAUAAAUGGGGCGGGCUCUGUAUGUACGCAUUUUUAGAAUAUAAAAUGUUUUUCUAUAGAAAAUAAAGAAACCAUGAUAUGAAUAUAAUAUGUGGGGAGCAUAAACAUGUCUGCAGUUUAUUAAUAUUUAUUUUUAAUAAACAUUUCUUUGAAUGCAUAUUAAGUGUGUGUACUAUAAUGACUUACAUCGAUUUACAAAGAUGCCAGCCUCCAUUUGACAGUAGAUCCCAAGGGGCCCAAUCUAAGCUCUAUCCCCUCUUGUAGUUAGGGAACUACGUUAAUUUUUCAGGGACCUGCUGGGGCUCCUUCCCACAGCAGAGCAUUUCCACACAGCCACAGUACCAUUCUUGGGUUUUCUCCAAGUCCAUCUCAGCCAAAAAUCCGUGUCAAUCAUCAAGUAAGUCUUCAUGAUACAGUACAUCUUGGCUUAGAGCAUCCUUUAGUGCAGAGAUGGCUACAGUGGUUAGAGGAUCAGGAAAUAAAACAGUUAGUAUACUUAGAAUUCCUGGUAAACCUUCUGAAGAACAGGUACAAAAAAAAAAAAACCCAGACUGAAAGGUAAGAUUAAGAUAACAGAUAGGAGGCAAGACUAGCUUGCAGCUCCCACUCAGACAGAGCAGGAUGUGGAGAGUAACAUUGUGAACUUUUGCUCCCAAAACUGCUGCAGGAACAUACCAGGAAAGCUGAAAGAAUCCACAGACCCUUUGAAGGAACUGGAUCUCCACUGCAGGCUGCCCGAAAUGCUGAAAAACUGUGUCUGCUUACUUUCUCAGUGGAGAGACUGGUGGUCUGGGGCAAUUUCUCAGCCCUGGCCACCGGCUACCUGGAAAUAGACUUGGUGCUGUUCCAGGGUAACAACGGGAAUGAGAUUGGCCUUAAAGACUGCAGGCUGUGUGGGAGUGGGAUGAGGCUGAGGGCUUUCCCACACUUCCCUGGUGACCUUAUGACUCAGCAGAGGCAGCCAUAAUCAUCCUGGGAACAUAACUCCAUUGGCCUAGAAACCACACUCCAUCCCCUAGAGCAGCUGCAGGGAUCCCCACCCAAGGGAAGUCUGAGCUCAGGCACUCCUAUCCCUGCCCCCACCUGGUGGUCUUUCUCUACCCACCCUGGUUGCCAAAGACAAAGAUCAGAAUCUCUUGGAGGCUCUGUGGCCCUACCCACCACCUGAGGCCUCUCAAUACUUAACCAGGCAAUCAUAGGGCAAGUUUGCAUCCUUCCUAUGAAAUCACAGCUGAUGUGCUCUUGAAAGUGCCACUUCCUGGCUGGAGGCCAACCAACACAAAACAAGUGCACUAAACAAAAAUACAAACCACGACCCUCAUAGAGUCCACUUCACUCCCCUGCUGCCUCCACUGGAGUAGGUGCUGGUAUCCAUGGCUGAAAGACAUGAAGAUGGAUCACAUCACAGAACACUUUGCAGACACUCCCCAGUACCAGCCCAGAGCCUGGUAGCUCCUAUGGAUGGCUGGACCCAAAAGAGCAAAAACAAUCAUUGCAGUUCAGCUUUCAGGAAGCCCCAUACCUAGGGGAAGGGGGAGGGCACCACAUCAAGGGAGCACUCUGUGGGACAAAAGAUAAUCUGAGCAGCAUCCCUUGAGUCCCAGAUCUUCUCUCUGACAUAAUCCACCCAAAUGUGAUGGAAUCAGAUAAAGAAUUCUGGUAAUAAAACAAGCUUCUUUAACACCUUCAAAAAAUCACAACAGCUCACCAGCAAAUGGAUCCAAACCAAGAUGAAUUCUUCGAAUUUCCAGAGCAAGAAUUCAGAAGGUUAUUAAGCUAAUCAGGAAGGCACCAGAGAAAGGUGAAGUCCAACUUAAAGAAAUCAAAAAUAUGAUACAGGUUAUGAGAGGAAAGGUCUUCAGUGAAAUAGACAGCAUAAAAAACAAUCGCAACUUCUGGAAAUCAAGGAGACACUUAUAGAAACGCAAAAUGCAGGCUGGGCGCAGUGGCUCACACCUGUAAUCCCAGCACUUUGGGAGGCCAAGUUCAGGAGUUCGAGACCAGCCUGGCCAACAUGGUGAAAUCCCAUCUCUACUACAAAUACAAAAAUUAGCUGGGUGUGGUGGUGGGCACCUGUAAUCCCAGCUACUCUGGAGGCUGAGGCAAGAGAAUUGCUUGAAACCGGAAGGGGGAGGUUGCAGUGAGCUGAGAUCAUGCCCCUGCACUCCAGCCUGGGCAACAAGAGCAAAACUCCAUCUCGAAAAAAAAAAAAUCCAAAAUGCACUGGAAAGUAUCAGAAAUAGAAUCAAAAGAAUCAAACAAGCAGAAGAAAGAACUUCAGAGCUCAAAGACAAAUCUUUUGAAUCGAUCCAAUCCAUAAAAGACAAAAUAAAAUAAAUAAAUAAAUAAAUAAAUAAAUAAAUAAAUAAAUAAAGCCUCCAAGAAGUUUGGGACUAUAUUAAACAUCCACACCUAGGAAUAAUUGGUGUUUGGAUACAUCAAAAUGUUUGGAAAACAUAUUUGAGAGAAUAAUUGAAGAAAACUUCCCCAGCCUUACUAGAGAUCUAAUCAUCCAAAUACAGAAGGCUUAAAAAAUACCUGGGAAAUUAUUGCAAAAAGGUUAUCACCUAGUCAUACAGUCAUCAAGUUAUCAAAAUUCAAGACAAAGGAAAGAAUCCUAAGAGCCAUGAGGCAAAAGCAUCAGGUAAUGUACAAAGGAAAAACCUAAAACCUAUCACAGAAAAAGCAGAAAUCCUACAAGCUGGAAGGGACUUGGGUCCUAUUUUUAGCCUCUUUAAACAAAACAAUUAUCAGUCAAGAAUUUUGUAUCCAGCUAAACUAAGAUUCACAAAUGAAAGAAAGAUACAAUUUUUCUUCCAGACAAACAAAUGCUGAGACAAUGAACCACUGCCAAGCCAGCACUACAAGAACUGCUAAAAGGAGCUCUAAAUCUUGAAGCAAAUCCUCAAAAUACACCAAGAUAGGACCUCCUUAAACCAUAAGUUUCACAGGACCUAUAUAAGAAUAACACAAUGAAACAAACAAAACAAAACAAGAUAUUCAGGCAACAAAUAGCAUGAUGAAUAGAAUAGUAUCUCACUUCUCAAUACUAAUGCAGAAUGUAAAUGGCCUAAAUUCUCUGCUUAAAAUAUAUAGAAUGGCAGAUGGGAUAAGAGUUUACCAACCAAGUUUCUGCCAUCUUCAGGAGACUCACCUUACUUAUAAGGACCCAUAUAAACUUCAGGUAAAGGGAUGGAAAAAGGUAUUCCAUGCAAAUGGACACCAAAAAGAAGCAGGAGUAGCUAUUCUUAUAUCAGACAAAACAAACUUUAAAGCAACAGCAGUUAAAAAGAACAGGGACAUUAUAUAAUGAUGAAAGGACUAGUCCAACAGGAAAAUAUCACAAUCCUAAAUAUAUAUGCACCUAACACCAGAACUCCCAAAUUUAUAAAACAAUUGCUACUAGACCUAAAAAAAGGUAUAGAUGGCAACAGAAUAAUAGUGGGGGACUUCAAUACUCCACUGACAGCACUAGACAGGUCAUCAAAACAGAAAGUCAACAAAGAAACAAUGGACUUAAACUAUACCCUACAACAAAUAUACUUACUAGAUAUUUACAUAACAUUCUACCCAACAACUACAGAAUAUACUUUCUAUUCAUCAGCACAUUGAACAUUCUCCAAGAUAGACCAUAUGAUAGGCCACAAAACAAGUCUCAGUAAAUUUAAGAAAAUCAAACCUAUAUCAAGUACUCUCUCAGACCACAGUGGAAUAAAAUUGGAAAUCAACUCCAAAAGGGAUGCUCAAAAUGAUGCAAAUACAUGGAAAUUAAAUAACCUGCUCCUGAAUGAUUGUUAGGUCAAGAAUGAAAUCAAGAUGGAAAUUUGAAAAUUCUUUGAACUUAAUGACAAUAGUGACACUGCCUAUCAAAACUUCUGGGAUACAGAAAAAGUAGUACUAAGAGGAAAGUUUAUAGCAUUAAAUGCCUACAUAAAAAAAAAAACUGAAAGAGACAAUAGACAAUCUAUUGUGUUUCACACCUCAUGAAACUGUAGAAACAGGAGCAAUCCAAACCCAAACCCAGUAAAAGAAAAGAAAUAAUAAAGAUCAGAGCAGAACUAAAUGAAAUUGAAACAACAACAACAAAACAAUACAAAAUAUAAAUGAAACAUAAAUCUGGUUCUUUGAAAAGAUAAAUUGAGAGACCAUUCAUGAGAUUAACCAAGACAAGAAGAGAGAAGAAGCAAAUAAGCUCAAUUAGAAAUGAAACAGGAGAUAAUACUACUGAUACCACAGAAUUAGAAAAGAUUAUUCAAGGCUCCUGUAAGCACCUUUACAUGCAUAAACCAGAAAACCUAGAGGAUAUGGAUAAAUUCCUGGAAAUAAACAACCUUCCUAGAUUAAACCAGGAAGAUAUAGAAACUCUGAACAGACAAAUAAAAAGCAGUGAGAUUGAAAUGGUAAUUUUAAAAAAAUGCCAACAUAAAAAGAAAGUCCAGAACCAGACAAAUUUAUAGCUGAAUUGUGUCAAACAUUCAAAGAAGAAUGGGUACCAAUCCUGUUGACAUUAUUUCACAAGAUAGAAAAAGAGGGAAUCCUUCUUAAAUCAUUGUAUGAAGGCAGUAUCACCCAAAUACCAAACCAGGAAAGGACAUAACAAAAAAAAGUAAACUACAGACCAAUAUCCCUGAUGAACAUAGAUCAAAAAAUCCUCAACAAAAUACUAGCUAACAGAACCCAACAGCAUAUCCAAAAGUAAUCCACCAUGAUCAAAUGGGUUUCAUACCAGGAAUGCAGGGAUGGUUUAAUAUCCACAAGUCAAUAAACGUGAUACACCACAUAAGCAGAAUUAAAGACAAAAAUCACAUGAGUAUCUCAAUAGUUGCAGAAAAAGCAUUUGGCAAAAUCCAGCAUCCCUUUAUGAUUAAAACCUGCAGAAAAAUUGGCAUAUAAAGGACAUACCUUAAGGUAAUAAAAUCCAUCUAUGACAAACCCACAUCCAACAUUAUACUGAAUGGGGAAAAGUUGAAAGCAUUCUCCCGGAUAAUUGGAACAAGGCAAGGAUGCCCACUUUCACUACUUCUACUCAACAUAGUACUGGAAGUCCUAGCCAGAGCAAUCAGAAAAGAGAAAGAAAUAAAGAGCAUUCAAAUCAGUAAAGAGGAAGUUAAACUGUUGCUGUUUGUUGAUGAUAUGAUUGUAUACCUAGAAAACCCUAAACACUCCUCCAUAAAGCUCCUAGAACUGGCAAAUAAAUUCAGCAAAGUUUCUGGAUAUAAAAUUAAUGUAUGCAAAUUAAUAGCUCUGCUAUAUACAAACAGUGACCAAGCUGAGAAUCAAAUCAACAACUCAACCCCUUUUACAAUAGCUGCAAAAAAAGAAUACUUAGAAAUAUACCUAACCAAGAAGGUGAAAGACUUCUACAAGGAAAACUAUGAAACACUGCUGAAAGAAAUCAUAGAUGACACAAACAAAUGGAAACACAUCCCAUACUUGUGGAUGGGUAGAAUCAAUAUUGUGAAAAUGAUCAUACUGCCAAAAACAAUCUACAAAUUCAGGACAAUUCUCAUCAAAAUACCACUGUCAUUCUUUACAGAAUCAGAAAAAACAAUUCCAAAGUUCAUAUGGAACCAAAAUUGGGCCCACAUAGCAAAGCAAAAUAAAGAAAUCUGGAGGCAUUACAUUAACUGACUUCAAACUAUGCUAUAAGGCCAAAGUCACCAAAAUAUCAUGGUACUGGCAUAAAAAUAAGCAUGUAUACCAAUGGAACAGAAUAGAGAACCCAGAUAUAAAGCCAAAUAUUUACAGCCCACUGAUCUUCGACAAAGAAGACAGAAACACAAAGUUGGGAAAGGACACCCUGUUGAACAAAUGGUGCUAGGAUAAUUGGCAAGCCACACGUAGAAAAUGAAAUUGGAUCCUCGUCCCUCACCUUAUACAAAAUCAACUCAAGAUGGAUCAAGGACUACAUACAAGACCUGAAACCAUAAAAAUUCUAGAAGGUAACAUUGGAAAAUUCUUCUGGAAGUUGGCUUAGACGACAACUUUAUGACCAAGAACUCAAAAGCAAAUGCAAGAAAAACAAAGAUAAAUAGGUGGGACUUAGUUAAACUAAAAAGCUUCUGAACAGCAAAAGAAAUAGCAGAGUUAACAAUUAAACUAAAAAGCUUCUGCACAGCAAAAGAAAUGGCAGAGUUAACAGAAAACCCACAGAGUGGGAGGAAAUCUUUACAAUCUAUACAUCUGAGAAAGGACUAAUAUCCAGAAUCUACAAAGAACUCACAAAUCAGUGAGAAAACACCAAAGAAUCCCAUCGAAAAAUGGGCUAAGGACACGAAUAGACAAUUCUCAAAAGAAGAUAUACAAAUGGCCAACAAACAAAAGGAAAAAUACUCAACAUCACGACGAAUUAUCAGGGAAAUGCAAAUCAAAAUCAUAAUGCAAAACCAUCUUAGACCUGCAAGUAUGACCAUAAUCAAAAAAUAAAAAAAAAAAUAGAUAUUGGCCUGGAUGUAGUGAAAGGGAACACUUUUACACUGUUGGUGGAAAUGUAAACUAGUACUCCCAUGGAAAACAGUGUGGAGAUUCCUUAAGGAACUACAAAUAGAUCUACCAUUUGAUCCAGCAAUCCCACUGCUGGGUAUCUACUGAGAGGAAAAGAAGUCAUUAUACAAAAAAUAUAUUUGCACAUGCAUGUUUAUAGCAGCACAAUUUGCAAUUUCAAAAAUAUAGAACUAGCCCAAAUGCCCAUCAAUAAAUGAGUGGAUAAAGAAUAUAUGCUAUAUAUAUACCAUGGUAUACUAUUCAGCCAUAAAAAGGAAUGAAAUAAUGGCAUUCACAACAACCUGGAUGGAACUGGAGACUAUUAUUCUGAGUGAAGUAACUUAGCAAUGGAAAACCAAACAUCAUAUGUUCUCAUUCAUAAUUGGGAGCUAAGCUAUGAGGACACAAAGGCAUAAGAAUGAUACAAUGGACUCUGGGUACUUGGGAAAAAGGGUGGGAAGGGGUGAGUGAUAAAAGACUACACAAUGGGUGCAGUGUACACUUCUUGGGUGAUGGGCACACCAAAAUCUCAGAAAUCACCAUUAAAGAACUUAUUCAUGUAGCCAAACACCAUCUGUUCCCCAAAGACCUAUUGAAAUAAAAAAUAAAUUAAUAAAAACCAACUGAGACCACAUUAGGUACCUAAUUCAUCAAUGUACAGAUGUCAUCACAAGCAUCAAGAACUGUCAGGGAAUGUGAACUCAACAAAUAUACAAAAUAAUGUGACACAGACCAAUGCUAAAGCAAGGAAAAUCUGUCAUCCCUGAGACAAAGAAUUCAAAAUAGCUAUUUUAAAGAAGCUCAACAACUUCAAGAAAACACAAGAAAUCGGUGUAGAAAUGUAUCAGAGAAAUUUAACAAAAAGAUUGAAAUAAUUUCAAAAAAGCAAACAAUUUUGGAGCUGAAAAGUACCAUGAAUGAAAUUUACAAAUGCAGUAGAGAGCAUCAACAGUAGAAUUGAUUGGACAGAAGAAAGAAGCAUGAGCUCAAAGACAGAUGAUUGGAAAAUACACAGAAGAGAGAAAAUAACAAAACACGAAAAGAAAUAAAGGUUACAUGAUCUACAGGACAUCAAAAGUUCUAAUAUUUGGGCUAAUGGAGUUAAUGAGGAAACUGAGAAAGACAAAAGGAUAGAAAACAUAUUAAAAGAAAUAAUAAUAGAGAGGUUUCUAAGCCUGGAGAAAUAUAUAAGUAUUCAGGUGCAAGAAGAUCAAAGUUUACCAAUCAGAUUAAAGCAAAAUAAAAAUAUCUCAAGACAUAUUAUAAUCAACCUCUCAAAUUUCAAUGACAAAGAGAUGAUCCUAAAAGCAGUGAGAGAAAGGAAGCAAAUCAGAUAUGAGUGAGUUAAAAUAUUCUUGGUGGCCGGGCAAGGUGGCUCACCCCUGUAAUCCCAGCACUUUGGGAGGCCAGGUGGGUGGAUCACGAUGUCAGGAGAUUGAGACCAUCCUGACUAACAUGGUGAAACCCCGUCUUUACUAAAAAUACAAAAAAAUUAGCCAGGUGUGGUGGCGGGCGCCUGUAGUUCCAGCUACUCAGGAGGCUGAGGCAGGAGAAUGGCGUGAACCCAGGAGGCAGAGCUUGCAGUGAGUCGAGAUUGCGCCACUGCACUCCAGCCUGGGUGACAGAGUGAGACUCCGUCUCAAAAUAAAUAAAUAAAUAAAUAAAUAAAUAAAUAAAUAAAUAAAUAUUCUUGGCAGCAGACUUCUCAGCAGAAACCUUAUAGGCCAGGAGAGAGUGAGAUAAUAUAUUAAGAAUAAUGAAGGAAAACACACACACACACACACACACACACACACACACACACACACACACACACACACACACCUGCCAACCAAGAAUGCUGUUUGCAGCAAGUCUGUUUUCCAGAAAUGAAGGAUUGAUAAAGACUUUCCUAGACAAAGAAAAGCUGAGGCUUUUCCAGACAAACAAAAGCUGAGGAAAUUUACUAUGACUAGACCUGUACUACAAGAAAUGUUAAAGAGAGUUCUUCAAACUGAAGGAAAAAACCACUAAUGUGAUCAUUAUGCUAAUAUUGUAAUGGUGGUGCAUAAGCCACUUUUAUCCUUCUUAAGAAGAAUACAAGGCAAAAUAUUAAAAUUAUCACUGCAAAAAACUUUUAAGGGACAGGAAAUAUAAAAAAUGUAAGUUGUGACGUCAGAAAUUCAAAAUGUAGGACUAGAAAGGAAUUAAUGUGUGCACCUGUUUUAUAGUUUUUUUGUGAUCAAGGUUGAAUUGGUAUCAGUUUUAAAUAACUAGUUAUAACUAUAGGAUGUUUUUUGUAAGCCUCAUGGUAAAAAGUAAAAACCUAUAAUAGAGACAUUACAAAUUAAAAGCAACAAAUUAAAACAUACUCCAAGAGAAAAUCAAAUAAUUACAAAGAAAAGCUAUAAGAAAGGAAGAAAGAGAGGAGUUAAAAAAAAAAACAAAACAGAAAGCAAAUAACAAAAGGCAGUAGUAUGUCCUUAACUAUCAAUAGCAACAUUGGAUGUAAGUGGACUAAAUUCUCUAAUUAAAAGACAUAGACUGGCUGAAUAGAUUAAAAAUAUGUGACUACUAUAUGCCAUCUAUGGAAACUCACUUUACCUGUAAAGACACACAUAGGCCAAAAGUGAAGGCAUGAAAAAAUAUGUGCCAUGCAAAUGGAAACAAAAAAAAAAGCAGGAGUAGCUACACUCAUAUAAGACCAAAUAGACUUUAUAUCAACAACUGUAAAAUGAGAUAUCAAAGGUUAUUACAUAAUGAUAAAAGGGUCAACUCAGCAAAAGGAUAUAAUACUACUAAAUAUAUAUGUGUAUGUAAACAUAAACAUAUAUACAUAUGUACCCAACACUGUAGCACCCAAAUACAUAAAGCAAAUAUUAAUAGAUCUAAAGGGAGAGAUAAACUGCAGUACAAUAUAUUAAAGGAAUUCAGCACCCCACUUUUGUCAAUGGAGAGAUCAUUCAGACAGAAAAUGAACAAAGAAACAUUGAAGUUAAACUAUAUUCUGGACCAAAUGGUCCUAAUAGACAGUUAUCGAACAUUGUAUCCAGCUUCUCCAGAAUAUGCAUUCUUCUCAUCUGCACAGAGAACACUGUCCAGGAUACACCAUUUGUUAGGCCACAAAACAAGUCUCAACAAAUUUAAGAGUCAAAAUUAUAUCAAGUACCUUUCCUGAUCGUAGCAAAAUAAAACUAUACUCAACAACAACAGGAACUUUGGAAACUGUAAAAAUACAUUAAAAUUAAACAUGUUUCUGAAUAACCAAGGAGUCAAUGAAAAAAUAUAAAAGAAAAUUAAAAAUGUUUCUCUUAAAACAAAUAGAAACAUUAGAACCUAUGGGAUACUGCAAAAGCAGUGCUAAGAGGCCUUAUUACAAUAAACACCUACAUAAAAACCAUAAAAAAAUUCAAAUAACCUAAUGAUGCACCCAAAGGAACUACAAAAAAAGUGAGAAAAAAAUGCAGAAUUAAUACAGAAACUAAAUAAUAAAGUUCAGAACAGAAAUAAACAAAAUUAAGACUGAAAAAAACAAAAGAUCAAAAAAGGUUUUAUAAAAGAUAAACAAAAUCAAUAAACCUUCACCUAGACUAAGAAAAAGAGAGAGAAAACCAAAACAAAAAAAUCAGAGAUUAAAAAGAAAAAAGUACAACUGAUACCACAAAAAUACAAAGAGAUCAUUAGAGACUACUAUGAACAAUUCUACUCCAGUUUUACUAGACUCUGAUUAAUAAAUAUUUCCAGGUAUUAAUUUUGUUUUUAUAUAUAUUAAAAUUUUAUUUGGUACUUAGAAUAUGGCAUCACAUUUUAUGAAUACUAAAGGAGUACUUAAAAAGUGAUACAGUUUAUAUUUAUAGGACAUCAUUAGGAUAUAUGGUCUCAUAUAUCCUUAUUAAUUUUUGGUCUAUUUUAUCAAUUAUGACCUGAGGAGAUGAAUUAAAUUAUAUGACAAGACAUUUCUCUCUGUUUUAUUGUAUUGCUAUACUUUAUUUUUAACUAAUAAAUAUUGAUUUAUUUAAAUUGGUGCAUACAUAGUCAUUGUUGUAAGAUCUGCAUGGGAAAUAACCAUUUUAUAUAAAAUAAUAUUAUUAUUCUGAGCAGUUUUAGAAAAGAUGUUUCUUUAUCUUACAUGUCUGAUAAUUUAAUGUGCCUAAUCUUGUUGACUGUUCUUUCUUACUCUUUUGUGCAUUGUGGUGCACACUUACAACUUUCUUC